rnacentral:rRNA from 1 species
UGGGGAAUAUUGGACAAUGGGCGCAAGCCUGAUCCAGCCAUACCGCGUGGGUGAAGAAGGCCUUCGGGUUGUAAAGCUCUUUUGUUGGGACAGAAAUCCUAUCGGUUAAUCACCGGUGGGGAUGACGGUACCCAAAGAAUAAGCACCGGCUAACUUCGUGCCAGCAGCCGCGUUAAUACGAAGGUUGCAAGCGUUACUCGGACUUACUGGGCGUAAAGCGUGCGUAGGUGGUGGUUUAAGUCUGCUGUGAAAGCCCUGGGCUCAACCUGGGAAGUGCAGUGGAUACUGGAGCACUAGAGGGUGGUAGAGGGAGGCGGAAUUUCUGGUGUAGCAGGGAAAUGCGUAGAGAACAGAAGGAACAUCCGUGGCGAAGGCGGCAGCCUGGGCCAACACUGACACUGAGGCACGAAAGCGUGGGGAGCAAACA